rnacentral:rRNA from 1 species
AAGUGGUAGGAGAGCGUUCUAUUUGCGUCGAAGGUAUACCGGUAAGGAGUGCUGGAGCGAAUAGAAGUGAGCAUGCAGGCAUGAGUAGCGAUAAUUAAUGUGAGAAUCAUUAACGCCGUAAACCCAAGGUUUCCUACGCGAUGCUCGUCAUCGUAGGGUUAGUCGGGUCCUAAGUCGAGUCCGAAAGGGGUAGACGAUGGCAAAUUGGUUAAUAUUCCAAUACCAACAUUAGUGUGCGAUGGAAGGACGCUUAGGGCUAAGGGGGCUAGCGGAUGGAAGUGCUAGUCUAAGGUCGUAGGAGGUUAUACAGGCAAAUCCGUAUAACAAUACUCCGAGAACUGAAAGGCUUUUUGAAGUCUUCGGAUGGAUAGAAGAACCCCUGAUGCCGUCGAGCCAAGAAAAGUUUCUAAGUUUAGCUAAUGUUGCCCGUACCGUAAACCGACACAGGUGGGUGGGAUGAGUAUUCUAAGGCGCGUGGAAGAACUCUCUUUAAGGAACUCUGCAAAAUAGCACCGUAUCUUCGGUAUAAGGUGUGGUUAGCUUUGUAUUAGGAUUUACUCCGAAAGCAAGGAAACUUACAACAAAGAGUCCCUCCCGACUGUUUACCAAAAACACAGCACUCUGCUAACUCGUAAGAGGAUGUAUAGGGUGUGACGCCUGCCCGGUGCUCGAAGGUUAAUUGAUGGGGUUAGCAUUAGCGAAGCUCUUGAUCGAAGCCCGAGUAAACGGCGGCCGUAACUAUAACGGUCCUAAGGUAGCGAAAUUCCUUGUCGGUUAAAUACCGACCUGCAUGAAUGGCGUAACGAGAUGGGAGCUGUCUCAAAGAGGGAUCCAGUGAAAUUGUAGUGGAGGUGAAAAUUCCUCCUACCCGCGGCAAGACGGAAAGACCCCGUGGACCUUUACUACAGCUUGACACUGCUACUUGGAUAAGAAUGUGCAGGAUAGGUGGGAGGCUUUGAGUAUAUGACGCCAGUUGUAUAUGAGCCAUUGUUGAGAUACCACUCUUUCUUAUUUGGGUAGCUAACCAGCUUGAGUUAUCCUCAAGUGGGACAAUGUCUGGUGGGUAGUUUGACUGGGGCGGUCGCCUCCCAAAUAAUAACGGAGGCUUACAAAGGUUGGCUCAGAACGGUUGGAAAUCGUUCGUAGAGUAUAAAGGUAUAAGCCAGCUUAACUGCAAGACAUACAAGUCAAGCAGAGACGAAAGUCGGUCUUAGUGAUCCGGUGGUUCUGUGUGGAAGGGCCAUCGCUCAAAGGAUAAAAGGUACCCCGGGGAUAACCGUGGGCGUAAGAAGAUUGAAGAGAUUUGACCCUAGUACGAGAGGACCGGGUUGAACAAACCACUGGUGUAGCUGUUGUUCUGCCAAGAGCAUCGCAGCGUAGCUAAGUUUGGAAAGGAUAAACGCUGAAAGCAUCUAAGCGUGAAGCCAACUCUAAGAUGAAUCUUCUCUAAGCUCUCUAGAAGACUACUAGUUUGAUAGGCUGGGUGUGUAAUGGAUGAAAGUCCUUUAGCUGACCAGUACUAAUAGAGCGUUUGGCUUAUCUUUAAUAAAGCAU